UACAGAGGGUGCGAGCGUUAAUCGGAAUCACUGGGCGUAAAGGGUGCGUAGGCGGGUUUUUAAGUCAGGGGUGAAAUCCUGGAGCUCAACUCCAGAACUGCCUUUGAUACUGAAGAUCUCGAGUCCGGGAGAGGUGAGUGGAACUGCGAGUGUAGAGGUGAAAUUCGUAGAUAUUCGCAAGAACACCAGUGGCGAAGGCGGCUCACUGGCCCGGUACUGACGCUGAGGCACGAAAGCGUGGGGAGCAAACAGG
rnacentral:rRNA from 1 species